rnacentral:rRNA from 1 species
CCUACGGGAGGCAGCAGUGAGGAAUAUUGGUCAAUGGCCGGAAGGCUGAACCAGCCAUGCCGCGUGAAGGUCAGUGCCCUAUGGGCGUUAAACUUCUUUUGUGCGGGAGCAAUAAUGGUCACGUGUGGCCAGACGAGAGUACCGUACGAAUAAGCAUCGGCUAACUCCGUGCCAGCAGCCGCGGUCAUACGGGGGAUGCAAGCGUUAUCCGGAUGUAUUGGGGUUAAAGGGUGCGUAGGCUGUGAGGUAAGUCAGCGGUGAAAUGCCCCCGCUCAACGGGGUGAAGUGCCAUUGAUACUGCCUUGCUGGAAUGCGGAUGCCGUGGGAGGAAUGUGUGGUGUAGCGGUGAAAUGCAUAGAUAUCACACAGAACACCGAUUGCGAAGGCAUCUCACGAAGCCGCGAUUGACGCUGAUGCACGAAAGCGUGGGUAUCAAACAGGAUUAGAUACCCGAGUAGUC